AGCGAGCGAAGCGUCGAAGGAGGCAAUAUGGCUAAAGAACUUCAUCGGUGAUCUUGGAGUUGUACCUGCCAUAAAGGAGCCCAUGGAGAUUUUCUGUGAUAACGAAGGAGCGGUUGCCUUGACCAAGGAACCGAGGGAUCAUGGUAGAUCAAGACAUAUCGACAGAAAAUAUCACUUCAUUAGACAUCGUGUAGAAGAAGGACAACUCGUAGUGAAGAGGAUAUCAUCAGAAGAUAACCCAGCAGAUCCGCUUACGAAGGGACUGAGUAGGGUUAAGCACUUGCAGCAUGCUAGGAGUAUUGGGCUGAAGGAUGAUAUUAGCAUAGAUUAGAUAGUAUUAGAAACGUGUAAUAGAUAAAUGUAAUUAACAUUUGAUGAUUAAAUAAAGGAGUUUUAUUUAUGAGUAAUGUUACUAUCUUAUGUUAAUUGUUUAACUAUUGUUUCACUUUGCAUGUUUUGACUUCCAGAAUAAUUGAGUUUAUUAGGAAUAAUCGAAUUGUUCAAAUUGUCCACAAUCGUUCAUAUGUUGGAAGUAGAUAUGAAUGAAGAUUGUCAUGAAUUGGUGUGUAGAUUGUCUAAAUGGUGUUAGACAUAGCAAAGGGUUGCUGCAACGUUCAUGAGUGCUUAUGAACUAGUUUUGAGCAUUGGAACAAACCCGCGCUUGCUGGAAUCACCUUAUGGAAUAUGAUAUAAAAGGGUGAUCGCAAGACGAUAAUAUCAUAUAGUCUUAAAACCUAGAUAUAUGGUUUGUUAUUUGUUAAUUGAUUGUACAUUGAUAAUGCGAAAACGCAUCAGUAACUCGGUGUUAUAAAACGCAUUGUUGUGUAUAGUUGGUUAAUGAAUAAGUAAAUGCAUAUAAGUCGAAGUUUAUCUGUAACUUUUAUCUAAGAAGGUAAAAGCGAUAUCUCGGCCGCUCGAUGAUUUGAUUUGACUUAUGUGCCGGGCCCGGUCAGAACUGAAUUGAUGUGUUCGAUUAAGUUCUAUGUCAAAUAAAUCAGAGAUCGAGAAACCUAAAUGCUUGACUAAUCAUUCCAUAGAAUUGUCAGCAUGAUAUCUAACAGAGGACUGUACGAUCCCUUAUCUAAAGGACAAGAUUGAUUAGAUCAGAGUUUGACAGCGUCUUUGAGAGCUACGAUUGCAAAUCGAAUUGUACUUGUGCAUAUAGUUACUAGACUUAUCCAAGUGGGAGACUGUUGGAAUAGUGUCUAAGGCUGCAACUAUAUUAGGCAAGUAUUUGACCCGGUUGUGCAUGGUCCUUUUGGGUUGCCUUCACCAUAGCAACUUGAUAGGAUGAUUUAUUAAGAGAGAAUAAAUAUUAUUAAUAUAUUAUGAGAAUAAUAUAAAGAAUAAUAAUAUUGUUAUUUGAUUAAUAUAAGUCAUAGAAUUAAUUAGAAUUAAUUUGGUGACUUAAAGAGAUUAAUUAAAUAAGAGGGUAUAAACUGUCAAUUGUUUGAUAGUUAAACUUUAGACUGUAAAUCCAUAUUGGAUAGGGGAGGACGGAUUCUAGAAGCUAAGGAUAGCCUCAAAUCGUCCAAGGCUAUCUAAGGAAUGGAUUUGGAUUGCUUUAAGGAAAUGAUUAUCCAACUAGGGUUUAAGGUGAAACCCUUAAGGGGUCUACAAGUAUAAAUAGACCCCAUGGCUAAGGGAAAUAGACAUCUCUUCUAAAGUAAGAAAACCCUGGCCGAUUUCCUCCUACCUCCUCUCUCUCAAAUCAUCCUCCUUGCUAUUUGGUGUUUGUAAGCCAUUAGAGGAGUGACAAUUGUGACUCUAGAGCUCCAAGACAACAAGGUCAAACAAGAGAUACAAAGGUAUGAUUCUAGAUCUGAUUUAGUUUUGUUCUUAUUCCUAAUUAGUCAUUAGAAGUCUUGGAUUCAAAGCAUGUUUAAUUAGAAAGCCUAGAUCCAAGCAUUAGGGUUUUGCAUGCGCAAAUAGGAAAGUUCUUAUGGCUAAAACCCAUCAGUUCUCAGGUUCUCUGGAUGAAGACACAACUUUUGGAGUACAGGUAUAGAAUGUUGCGGGUGCCAAUCCAUUGUGAUUCAGAGAGUGUGAUAGCUAUUUCACACAAUCUUGUUCACCACUCGAAGAUGAAACACAUAGAACUAUGGUAUCAUUUCAUCAACAACCAUAUCCUAAAAUGUAACAUUAAAUUCAUCUUUGUUCCAACUCAUGAGGAAAUUGUUGAUGUUUUCACCAAGGUACUCGACUCCACAAAACAUUGUGUAUUUUGGAAAUGUUAAGGAUGAUGAAUCUAGACCCGCAGUUCUUCUUAGCUACCGCAGACCUAUAGGUCUUCGAGUGUAAGUAAAAUUGCUUCUUUUCUUUUAUCAAAUCAAAAUUCUUGAUGCACUUUACUAAUUUUAUCUCUUUCUAGAAUAACUAAUGUAAUGUAUACUUCACAGAUUGCUCUUCAGUAUACUAGGUACACCGAAUUCGUUCAUGAUCUAUAUACUCCUUGGGUCUCUUUAUUUCUUUUAUUUCUAACCUCUAUGAUCAAGGUUGUCCUCACUUUUCAUCUCCCGCAGAUGUAUAAAUCAACCCACAGUCAUCACCUCACUCACGCAUUGAAUGUCAUUGUGUGCUACUUAAUGAUGUUAAUGUUGGAUUAGUGUCUAAGCCCGUAACCAUAUUUGGUAAGUACUUGACCCGGUUGUGCAUGGUCCUUUUGGGUUGCCUUCACCAAAGUAACUUGACUGGAGAAAUAAAUAGAGAGAGAGGGGUUAUUAUGAUUUAUUAAUAUAUUAUAAGAAUAACAUAUUAAAGGAGAAAUCAUAUUUGUUUAAUUAAUAUUGGUCAAUAAUUAAUUAGGAAUUAAUUUUGUGAUCAAGUGUAAUUAAUUAAACUAGAGGGACUGAAUUGUAAUUAUGUGAUAGUUGCAAAAUAGGGCAAUGGUUAUCCUAGUUGUAGGAUGGACGAAUUCAAGGGAUAAGAUAUCCUUGAAAUCGUCCAAAGGUCCAAAUGGAUAAGGGUUAUCAGGGCUUAUCUUUUGAUUGCUUGGUAGGCAAGUAACUAGAUAAGGAUAAGGACUUAAACCCUAAUCUCUACCCUAUAUAAAGACCCCUAAGGCCUUAAGAAUUCGUUCACUUGCUUCUAAGAGAUCCCAAGGACGAUUUAUACCUCUCCCCUCCCCUCUCUAUAGCCUCUCCAAUUGCUUGUGGUGUUUGUGAGCCAUUAGAGGUACUACACUUGUGGUACUUGCUUUCAAGACUUAGGGUUUGAAGAUUUAAGUUGUUAUUGCAAUAUAACAACAAGAGCUAUAUGAUCUAACCUUCUAAGUGAAUUUCGAAAAUAGUAGGCCACAUUAGGGUUUUAUUCAUGUGUUCAUAUGUUGUGUAUCUAAUAGUGAAAACAUAGAUCCAAAUCUACGGUUGCAUGCACACAUAGGAUUGUAUGUAGGAGGCAAGAAAUUUCAAGAUUAGGGUUUCAUAACCCUAAUUUGCGAAAUUUAUGAAAGGUUUUUUAAAUCCUUUCCUUUGGUGCAAGAUUUCGAAAUCUAGGGUUUGCAAACCCUAGGAUUUUCGAAUUAGCCUCCUUUCCCAAGAUAAGAUCCUAAAUUUUAGGGAUUUGGAUAAUCCCAUAUCUUGUAAUUAUCUUUUAAUAGUUAAAUAUGGUAAUUAAAGAUUUUGAAUUAUCCCCUCCCAUUAUUUUCAAAAUUUACAGGGAUAAAAGGGAUUAGGAUAAGUUAAUUGUUUAAAUGAUAAUUAUCCUUUAAGAUUUAAUAAUCCCUUAUGAUUUAAUAAUUUAAAUUAAUAGUUUAAUUUGAGAUAAUUAUUAAAUCAAGAGUUUUAAUAUUUUUAAUUUUGAUUUAAAUGAUAUUAAAUUUCAAAAAUUUGAAGUUGAAAAUUAAAACCCUAGUAUUUUGAAAUGUUUAAAAUACACCCUAUACUAUUAUAUUAUUACAAGCUUAAUGAAUAUAUAUAUAUAUAUAUAUAUAUAUANNNNNNNNNNNNNNNNNNNNNNNNNNNNNNNNNNNNNNNNNNNNNNNNNNNNNNNNNNNNNNNNNNNNNNNNNNNNNNNNNNNNNNNNNNNNNNNNNNNNNNNNNNNNNNNNNNNNNNNNNNNNNNNNNNNNNNNNNNNNNNNNNNNNNNNNNNNNNNNNNNNNNNNNNNNNNNNNNNNNNNNNNNNNNNNNNNNNNNNNNNNNNNNNNNNNNNNNNNNNNNAAAUUUCCCAAUCUUAGUUACUUUAGAAAAAUGGAAUUGAUGCAAUCCCAUGAAAUUACACUUUGCACCCUUGCUAAGAAGUUAGUGGAGCGUGUGUGGUUUACCGGCACACUAAUUGGUUCUAAGCAAAGGUGGCAAAGGGUGAUUCAUUGUUUAUCAUAGUUCGAUGGAGCGUGUGUGGUUUACCGGCACAUCGAAUAGAUGAUUGUAACAAUGAAGGCACCAUGUAGAUUUGCAUGGUUAUUCACACCCACUUUGUGAUCCUCGGCAUCCCAGUCACAAACGAGAGGGGCAUAUCGAGAUUUAAACAUGCCAUUGAAAAGCUCAAUGAAUCUCCAUGAAAAUCUAGGAAUUCUCAAAAAACAUUUAAAACUUAAGCUUAUAUUUUUCAUGGUAAAGAAUUAGUGAAUCGUCAUUCACUUACCUCCAAAUUAUGUGCGUGUUAGAUUACGGCAUCCCUUUUCUAAUAUGUAAAUAAUGUUGUUGGGUCCUAGCCCUAAUUUUUCAUUUUGGGUGUUUAAUUAGGGAUCCAAUUCUAAUCAAACUUUGUCCUUUCUAUUUGUAGAUGUCGAACGCAAACAACGUUGCUGCUAACUCAUUCACGCUAAUGAGUCUUUGUCAAAAAGUGACUUUUGAUGGAUCGAACUUUAGCGAAUGGAUAAGAUACAUUCGCACGAUUGCGCACUACGAGGACAAAGAGUAUGUCCUCGAUGAGAAGCUCGAGAAGAUCAAUCCAGAAAUCGCUACUCCUGAGGAAAUGGCUGUCUUUUAGACCCACGAAUGUGAUGCAACGAAAGUCCAUUGCAUCAUGAUAGCCACAAUGAACCAAGAAUUCCAAAAGUCCUAUGAGGACAUGUAUCCGUAUGAAAUGCAUCAAGACUUGAUGGAGAGGUACCACCAAAGCGCGAGGCAAGAGCGCUACGAGAUCAUCACUAACAUGAUCACCGCUAAGAUGGGAAAUGGAGAAUCGUUGACUGUGCACUUGCAAAAGAUGCAACGAUAUGUUGAUCGUCUUCGCAAGUUAAAUGUUAACUUUGGGGAGGAUUUGGCCAUCGACAUUGUUCUUCACUCCUUGCCUUCAUGCUACAACCAAUUUAGGAUGACCUACCACAUGAACAAGGAAGAGGUCACCCUAAGCAAACUCCAAGGACUCCUAAGGACUGCUGAGAGCAACCUAAAGGACAAGUCUGUUGCACCAACUCCCGCACCAACCGCUGCUCCUGUUUUGGCUAUAGGGCAGGGAAGGGGCAAGAAGAGGAAGGCUCCGUCAAAGAGCCACCGCAAGGGAAAGUCCCAAGAUGGUUCCUCUUCUAGUGGGACCAAGGUUGAUCCUGCUAAGCCCAACCCUAACCCGAAGGAGGCAGAGUGCCAUCAUUGCCACAAAAUAGGGCAUUGGAAGAGAAGCUGCCCAGAAUAUCUGCAAGCCAUCAAGGAUGGAAAGAUCAAGCCGUCUUUCGCAGGUAUUUACACAAUUAAAUCUAAUGAUUCAUCUCAUGCUAUUUCUUGGGUUCUUGAUACCGGGUGUGGUUACCACAUUUGUUCUGAAUUGCAGGGACUAAGAAGAAAUAGGGAUGUGGAGCAUGGAAGAAUAAAUCUAAUCAUGGGAAACAGAAGAUCGUCGCCUGUCACCAAGAUUGGAGUGUAUUCUUUAGUGCUUAGUAAUGGAUUAGGUUUAGAUUUAAAUAAUUGUUGCUACUCGCCAGAUAUGGCAAGAAACAUCAUUUCAUUUCAUGGUUUGUUUAGACAAGGAUUUAGAUAUUCGUUUAAUAAUGAGAAUGGUUCUAUUUAUGUUUAUCUAAAUGGUGUUUUAUACUUUGAAGAAAUGCCUUUUAAUGGAAUUUAUGAAACCGUUAUCGUUGUAGAUAACCUAGGAAAUGAUGUGUUGUGUAUAGAUUCUUCCAAUAGUAUGGAUAAAGCAUCUUUGUGGCAUUGUCGUCUUGGACAUGUCAACAAGAAGCGCAUAGCCCAACUCCAAAAGGAUGGAGUGUUGGAGUCAUUCGACCUUAGGGAAGAUGACACGUGCGAAUCUUGUUUACUUGGAAAGAUGACCAAGUCACCCUUCACUGGCACUUGUGAGAGGGGUGAGGGUUUAUUGGAUCUCAUACAUACCGAUGUAUGUGGGCCCUUUAGAUCCACCACAAAGGAUGCGAACCGCUUCUAUGUGACUUUCACCGAUGAUUAUAGUAGAUAUGGGUAUAUUUACUUAAUCAAGAACAAGUCAGAAACGUUUGAAAAGUUCAAAGAGUUCAAACAUGAAGUGGAGAAUCAAUUGGGCAGGAAAAUCAAGAUGCUUCGAUCCGAUCGAGGAGGAGAGUACCUAAGUCUUGAAUUCCACGACUAUCUCAAGGAAUGCAGAAUAAUUUCGCAAUUGACGCCACCUAGGACACCGCAGUUGAAUGGUGUGGCAGAAAGGCGUAAUCGAACCUUGUUAGACAUGGUUCGUUCUAUGAUGAGUCGUGCUUCACUACCUAUCUCAUUCUGGGGGGUAUGCCUUAGAGACUGCCGCCCAUAUCCUUAACCGAGUCCCUACAAAGAAGGUUGCCAAAACACCUCACGAGAUGUGGACAGGAAAAGCUCCCUCGUUUGCACAUAUCAAGCUUUGGGGCUGUGAGGUUUUUGUAAGACGAGAGACUCACGACAAGCUCGAACCUCGUAGUGAGCGAUGUAUUUUCAUCGGCUACCCGCAGAGAUCCUUUGGAUAUCUCUUCUAUAGACCGAGUGAAAAUGUUGUCUUCAUUGCGAGGAGAGGGGUUUUCUGAGAGCGAGAAAUCAUAAACCAAGGAGACAGUGGGAGCCAGAUCGAUCUUGAAGAGAUUUAAGAGUCGAGUGAUGAAGGGACCUCUACCUUUGGCGCUCAACCCGAGGAGGAAACUCCGGUUGAACCAAUUAACGAGUCCUUACCUCUUAGACGUUCCGAAAGAGUUAGAGUUCAACCCCAGUUUUAUGGUUUUCAUAUUACUACCGAAGGGGACACAUAUAUUAGUGAUGGUACACUAAUAAAUAUAGAUGAACCUAAUAGCUAUAAGGAAGCCAUGGCAGGCGCAGAGUCUGCAAAAUGGAAAGAGGCAAUCGACAGCGAGAUUCAGUCCAUGUAUGACAACCAAGUUUAGAAUUUGGUUGACAAUGUGCCCGGACGUAAGACGGUUGGGUGCAAAUGGAUAUUCAAGAAGAAGACCAACGUAGAUGGGAAUGUACACACGUAUAAGGCAUGAUUGGUGGCAAAGGGCUUUACUCAAACUCCCGGAGUUAACUAUGAUGAGACCUUCUCACAAGUUGCGAAAAUAAAGUCUAUUAGGGUGAUGCUAGCCAUUGCUGCAUUUCAUGAUUAUGAGAUAUGGCACAUGGAUGUCAAGACCGCUUUCCUUAAUGGGAAGUUGGCUGAGGAUGUUUACACAGCUCAGCCAGAGGGUUUUGUCAAUGCCAGGCAUCCCAAUAGAGUGUGUAAGCUUGAGAAGUCCAUUUACGGACUUAAGCAAGCAUCUCGCAGAUGGAAUCUUUGCUUUGAUGAGAAAGUCAAAGAGUUUGGAUUUGUAUGAAGCGAAGAUGAAUCAUGUGUAUAUGUCAAAGCCAGUGGGAGUAUAGUUAGCUUCCUCAUUUUGUAUGUCGAUGACAUACUACUCAUAGGAAACGACAUCCUGACUCUGCAUGAGGUUAAGUCCUGGCUCGGGAAGUGCUUCACUAUGAAGGAACUCGGAGAGGCUUCCUAUAUUUUGGGAAUAAGGAUAGUGAGAGAAUGAAGUAAGAGACUAAUAGGACUUAGUCAAAAUACUUACUUGGAUAAGGUACUAAAAUGUUUUAGUAUGGAAAACUCGAAGAAGGGAGAACUAUCGAUACAAAGUAAUGCCAAGUUGAGUAAGACUCAAAGUCCGAGUACCGAAGCCGAGAUAGCAGAGAUGAGUCGAGUACCUUACGCUUCCGCAGUUGGCUCGAUCAUGUAUGCUAUGACUUGUACUCGCCCUGAUGUGGCCUUUGCUUUGAGCAUGGUCAGUAGAUAUCAAGGGAACCCUGGCAGAGCUCAUUGGAUUGCAGUCAAGAAUAUCCUUAAGUACCUUCGGAGGACCAAGGAAUGGUUUUUAGUCCUCGGAGGGAGUGAUGACUUAAAGGCACAAGGGUAUAGUGACGCCAUCUUCUAGACCGACAGGGACAACUACCGUUCGUAGUCAGGCUGGGUCUUUACCCUAAAUGGAGGAGCAGUGACUUGGAAAAGUUCCAAACAGGAAACUGUAGUUGAUUCAACAUGUGAAUCAGAGUACAUUGCAGCGAGCGAAGCAUCAAAGGAGGAAAUAUGGUUGAAGAACUUCAUUGGUGACCUUGGAGUUGUACCUGCCAUAAAGGAGCCUAUGGAAAUUUUCUGUGAUAAUGAAGGAGCGGUUGCCUUGACCAAGGAACCGAGGGAUCAUGGUAGAUCUCGGCAUAUCAACAGAAAGUAUCAUUUUAUUAGACAUGGAGUAGAAGAAGGACACCUCGUAGUAAAGAGGAUAUCAUCAGAAGAUAACCUAGCAGAUCCGCUUACGAAGGGACUGAGUAGGGUUAAGCACUUGCAGCACGCUAGGA
rnacentral:lncRNA from 1 species